UACGAAGGGUGCAAGCGUUACUCGGAAUUACUGGGCGUAAAGCGUGCGUAGGUGGUGAGUUAAGUCUGUCGUGAAAGCCCCGGGCUCAACCUGGGAAUGGCGAUGGAUACUGGCUCGCUAGAGUGCGGUAGAGGAGAGUGGAAUUCCCGGUGUAGCGGUGAAAUGCGCAGAUAUCAGGAGGAACACCAAUUGCGAAGGCAGCUCGCUGGGACGUAACUGACGCUGAGACGCGAAAGCGUGGGGAGCAAACAGG
rnacentral:rRNA from 1 species